rnacentral:rRNA from 1 species
GAUGAACGCUGGCUACAGGCUUAACACAUGCAAGUCGAGGGGAAACGACGGGGAAGCUUGCUUCCCCGGGCGUCGACCGGCGCACGGGUGAGUAACGCGUAUCCAACCUGCCUCUGACUGAGGGAUAACCCGUCGAAAGUCGGCCUAAUACCUCAUGGUAUCGUCUGCGGGCAUCCAACGACGAUUAAAGAUUUCCUCGGUCAGGGAUGGGGGUGCGUCUGAUUAGCUUGUUGGCGGGGUAACGGCCCACCAAGGCUACGAUCAGUAGGGGUUCUGAGAGGAAGGUCCCCCACAUUGGAACUGAGACACGGUCCAAAAGCCUACGGGAGGCAGCAGUGAGGAAUAUUGGUCAAUGGGCGAGAGCCUGAACCAGCCAAGUAGCGUGCAGGAAGACGGCCCUAUGGGUUGUAAACUGCUUUUAUGCGGGGAUAAAGUGAGGGACGUGUCCCUCAUUGCAGGUACCGCAUGAAUAAGGACCGGCUAAUUCCGUG